CCCUUAGAUGUCUUGGGCUGCACGCGUGCUACAAUAAACGAUACACAGAAAUUGUAAAGUCAUCUUUGUUCUGAAUAUCGUUUGUAGUGGGGCUAAUUGCUUUGAAUUGUUUAAUUUUAACGAGGAAUUCCUAGUAAGUAUAGAAAAUUAUUCUGUGCUGAUUUAGUCCCUGCCCUUUGUACACACCGCCCGUCGCUCCUACCGAUUGGGUGUGCUGGUGAAACUUUUAGAUUGGUACAGUUUUGCUUCAUUGUCUACUAGUGUACAUACUGCGCUGAAAACUUUGUUGAACCCUCACAUCUAGAGGAAGGAGAAGUCGUANCA
rnacentral:rRNA from 1 species